UGGGGGAUGGUUUAGUGGUUUGAAUAUUGGACUAGGAGUCUCGAGACCAGGGUUCAAAUCCCAGCUUGGCUA